rnacentral:rRNA from 1 species
AGGAUGAACGCUGGCGGUCUGCUUAACACAUGCAAGUCGAACGGAGUAGCAAUACUUAGUGGCGGACGGGUGAGUAACGCGUGAGAAUCUACCUUCAGGACGGAGACAACAGUUGGAAACGACUGCUAACCCCCGAUGUACCGAAAGGGCAAAUAUUUAUAGCCUGAAGAAGAGCUCGCGUCCGAUUAGCUAGUUGGAGAGGUAAAAGCUCACCAAGGCGACGAUCGGUAGCUGGUCUGAGAGGACGAUCAGCCACACUGGGACUGAGACACGGCCCAGACUCCUACGGGAGGCAGCAGUGGGGAAUUUUCCGCAUGGGCGAAAGCCUGACGGAGCAAGACCGCGUGGGGGAAGAAGGCUCUUGGGUUGUAAACCCCUUUUCUCUGGGAAGAACGCAAUGACGGUACCAGAGGAAUCAGCAUCGGCUAACUCCGCGCCAGCAGCCGC